rnacentral:rRNA from 1 species
UACAGGGGGGGGCAAGCGUUGUUCGGAAUUACUGGGCGUAAAGGGCCAGUAGGCGGCCGACUAAGUCCGACGUGAAAUCCCUCGGCUUAACCGGGGAACUGCGUCUGAUACUGGAUGGCUUGAGGUUGGGAGAGGGAUGCGGAAUUCCAGGUGUAGCGGUGAAAUGCGUAGAUAUCUGGAGGAACACCGGUGGCGAAGGCGGCAUCCUGGACCAAUUCUGACGCUGAGGAGCGAAAGCCAGGGGAGCAAACGGGG